UUUUCAUUACUCAUCUCGACAGCACGUUUUAUUCUACAGCAACUUGAGCAAACACCCGACAUGUGUUUUCAGUCUGCUAUCACAGAAAAAAAACUACACAAGCUCUUAACAAUGACUCAGCAGGAAAGUGAAUAAACACUUGAGAUGUAAACACAUGCAUUUGCGAGGCUCUCUGCGACCGGUAUAACAGUUUUCAGGACAUAAAUUGAGUCUGGAUGAUUUUUUUUUUUCGCAGCAGCUGGAAGUUGUCAGCUUCAGACGCAUGUGUUACAACAGCGGCGGGAGAAUGUCUCUGAAACACUCGGUCUGAGUUUGGACUACAGGAACCGACACACUUUCUCACUGUGAAACAUCCUGAGCUCUUCCUGCUUUAUUCUCACCACGGAGUGCAUGUGAGACUUUGGACGAAGCCUCCAUUGUUUGAAAAGUGACGCCAAAAGGAGUGGGACGGAAGCAGAUGUAGUAGAACUCCGUUUUAAUCAAAGUCUACAGGAAAAAUGAGCUUCUACUUCUCACUCCAACAUUUGUAAAGCAGGUGAAGUCUAUAAAUACCAAAAUGCCGGCCAAAUCCAAGAUUUUGUUUUGCAACUGGAAGACACUGUCUAUUUUUAUAGAUGGUCUACUCACCCUAUUCCUAUGAUUCGUAAAUUAUGGGUUUGACACACGUUUUCCAUGGUAACUGGAUGCUAAUCGCCAAGCAUGACUGUGAAAUUUAACUCGUGGGAACAUUAACCUGUUACACCUCAAGAGAGAUGAUGUCACCAUUCACUGCCACCUUCUACACAGUUAAUGUUUUACUGUGAAAUCAACUAUGAUCAGGGCAAGAGUACAAUAAUUUAAGUUUUGGAGUCAUUGAGAUGGUAAAAAGUCUAGUUGCGGGGAGAGUGGGGGGCUGUCUCCACUGCCCCCUACUGUCUGUUAUUGGAAAACCAGCGUUGGAAGAUCAGGGCCACUGACCCGGAGUCCUCAGAAUCAGGAGGAACCACAAAUUGCCCCGUUAUAAACCGGCAAUAAGACCAAGCGACGUUGUUGGGGGAAGCAAAGAAGAGGAAACGACUUUUCUGACCAAGCGAGGGGGCCACACACGAGUAGGGUCAGAACCAGAGGCGUGAAAGGCUCUCAUCACACACAGGAAUUCUUUCUACCAUUUCACAGACUUUCAGAGCACUACAUCACACUUUACUUGAAACCCGAAACCUGAAACUGGAACAAAAGGAGAACAAGCAGGAAGUGGCGGAGACAACACAAACACUGAAAAAUAAAUCACGGACCUGCCAUGAAGGAAUUAUACACAAGUGUGAGACGUUUACAGGAAUUCAGCUCGUUCUGUUAAUCUUUUAUGGAGAGCGAGUUGGUUUCCAGAGUCUGCAGUUCAACAACACAACUCCAGACAAUCUAAAUGAAAAUGAAACUUUUACCACAAUUAUUUUUGUGUUAGCAGUUUUUGUUCAGUUUAGGAAGUUGAAAUUGCAGUUGGGGGAUUUUCUUGACUAGAAGGACUGAGUUACCAUCCAAGUAAGACCAGAACUGUACACACAACCAUAUAUUACAUAAUUAAUAACUACUAAAUGAAUGAACAUCUUAUUGAAUAACAUCUUAUAUGAAUAUCUUAUUUCACCUGAAAUGUUCUUCUGUGGCAGUGAACAGAAUUUCUUUGGUUAUUUACAUUUUUUGGAACAUUAUUAAGUAGUUGUAGUAGUUUCACUUUCAUGUGCUAAACUUAGUUGCCUCGACUCGCCUUUGGCGUAGACUGAGGCGAUGUUUAUC